rnacentral:rRNA from 1 species
CGAGAACGCCCGGGCCUAGCCGGGGCAAGUACAGUGGCGGACGGGUGCGUAACGCGUAGAUAACCUGCCCUCAGGCGCGGGACAAUCGCGGGAAACCGCGGCUAAUACCGCACGACGUCCGGAUCCCGCAUGGGAGCCGGAUGAAACCUUGGGGUUACCCAGGGGCCUUUGGAUGGGUCUGCGUCGGAUUAGCUUGUUGGUGAGGUAACGGCUUACCAAGGUAACGAUCCGUAGCUGGUCUGAGAGGAUGAUCAGCCACACUGGGACUGAGACACGGCCCAGACUCCUACGGGAGGCAGCAGUGGGGAAUCUUGCACAAUGGGGGCAACCCUGAUGCAGCCAUGCCGCGUGGAGGAAGACACCCCUAUGGGGCGUAAACUCCAUUUCUGCGCGAAGAAACCCCAGUUGUUCUGGGUGUGACGGUACCGCAGGAAUAAGGACCGGCUAACUCCGUGCCAGCAGCCGCGGUAAUACGGAGGGUCCAAGCGUUGUCCGGAAUCACUGGGCGUAAAGGGUGUGCAGGUGGGGCAGCAAGUCAGAGGUGAAAUCCCGCGGCUUAACCGCGGACGUGCCUUUGAAACUGUUGCUCUUGAGUCCCGGAGAGGUUGCCGGAAUUCGUGGUGUAGCGGUGAAAUGCGUAGAUAUCACGAGGAACACCAGAGGCGAAAGCGGGCAACUGGACGGGUACUGACACUGAGGCACGAAAGCGUGGGGAGCA